rnacentral:lncRNA from 1 species
AUUGGGUCCAAUCUCAUUUCUACCUCAGGAUAUCAAGUGCCAAUAGAGUGGUUGUACCUUUUCGAUGCAACCAAAUUACUGUAAUCAGCCGAGAAUGAUCAAUGCCAGGAAGGCACCCACAUCUUUAUAACGAUGGAAGAUUUCUAGACUUAAUAUUUAGUAAGAAGAUUUAGAUUUAGAUCUCUUCUAAAUCAACAGAUUUGAUAUCUGACUGAUCAAAUUCAUGUCAGUACAUUAAUAUGUCUAACCAGCC